AGGACGAACGCUGGCGGCGUGCUUAACACAUGCAAGUCGAGCGGUAAGGCCUUUCGGGGUACACGAGCGGCGAACGGGUGAGUAACACGUGGGUGAUCUGCCCUGCACUUCGGGAUAAGCCUGGGAAACUGGGUCUAAUACCGGAUAUGACCUCCUAUCGCAUGGUGGGUGGUGGAAAGAUUUAUCGGUGCAGGAUGGGCCCGCGGCCUAUCAGCUUGUUGGUGGGUAAUGGCCUACCAAGGCGACGACGGGUAGCCGACCUGAGAGGGUGACCGGCACACUGGGACUGAGACACGGCCCAGACUCCUACGGGAGGCAGCAGUGGGAACAUGCACAAUGGGCGAAAGCCUGAUGCAGCGACGCCGCGUGGAGGAUGACGGCCGUUCGGGUUGUUAAACCGUC
rnacentral:rRNA from 1 species